rnacentral:rRNA from 1 species
CGUCCUACGGGACGCAGCAGUGGGGAAUAUUGGGCAAUGGGCGCAAGCCUGACCCAGCAACGCCGCGUGAAGGAAGAAGGCUUUCGGGUUGUAAACUUCUUUUCUCAGGGACGAAGCAAGUGACGGUACCUGAGGAAUAAGCCCCGGCUAACUACGUGCCAGCAGCCGCGGUAAUACGUAGGGGGCAAGCGUUAUCCGGAUUUACUGGGUGUAAAGGGAGCGUAGACGGCUAAUCAAGUCAGAAGUGAAAACCCAGGGCUCAACCUUGGGACUGCUUUUGAAACUGAGUAGCUAGAGUGCAGGAG